GACGAACGCUGGCGGCGUGCCUAAUACAUGCAAGUCGAGCGAAGCGGCGGAUGGGUGAGCAACGCGUGGGUAAUCUGCCCAUAAGUCUGGGAUACAAUUUGGAAACAGAUGCUAAUACCGGAUACUAAUGGAUGGACCAGCGAUGCAUUAGCUAGUUGGUAAGGUAACGGCUUACCAAGGCCCUGAUGCAUAGCCGAGUUGAGAGACUGAUCGGCCACAUUGGUACUGAGACACGGCCCAAACUCCUACGGGAGGCAGCAGUAGGGAAUCUUCCACAAUGGGCGAAAGUCUGAUGGAGCAACUCCGCGUUAGUGAUGAAGGUUUUCGGAUCGUAAAGCUCUGUUGUUAGGGAAGCGGUAAUCAACCAGAAAGUCACGGCUAACUACGUGCCAGCAGCCGCGGUAAUUC
rnacentral:rRNA from 1 species